ACUGAAUGGAGAAUAUCUCUUGGACCUUGGCUGUCUCCUGGAAAGUAGUGCUAUGCAGUCAGAGAGUCCCUUCACUGUUGGAUGCCCACCUACACAGGCACGUUUCAAGACAGCCCAGUGCUUUAAAUGUAAUCCUCUUGAUGGUUUAGAGAUGAAUUCUACCAAGAGCAGCAUUUCACGAGGCUCACCAGGAAAUUUUCUAGUCACUUCUUCAGAAGUCUGAUGUCAUGACUGAAGGGACAGGUCUGGGGAGUCCAAAGAUGCUGGGCUAUGGAUUUGUCCUGUUUCUGACAGCCCCAGAAGAGCAGAGGCCUACCAGCGUAGUUGUAAGAAACUCUGCCUAAUGAGUGUGCCCACGAAGCUCCUGUAUGGCUCUCUAGCAGUAGGACACAAUGGAAUGGCAUAGGGCUGUGUCAGGGAAGGGUCAGAUUUGGGAUUAAGAAAAGAUUCUUCGACAGAGGGUGGUCAGGCCCUGGAGAAGGUUUCCGAGUGCAGUGGUUACACCACUGAGCCUGCCAGUGUUAAAUAAACUUUCAUGGUCCUGUGCUGAGCUGGGAAUUGGACUUGAUCUUUGUGGGUCCCUUCCAAUUUAAGAUGAUAUUCUGUGAUUCUGUUAAAUUUACAGCUUUCCUUCCUCUUGUGCAUAAGCUGGAAAGGUUCAAUUCUAAAAGCAACUGAUAAACUCGCUGACUGUUUCACCAAAACUCUUCAGACUCUACACAUACUGCUGAUGGGGUUUAAUGUAACAGUAGAAGAUCAAAGAGACAGGACAAGUUAACAGUUUGUUUUAAACAAAAGAGGCUAUUUUUGACCUGAAAUCCUGUGUAUUAGAGUGUUCUUCUUCAACUGACAAAAGAAAAGCCAUUGUUGCUACAAAUUAUCUAUUUUGUCCUCGCUAAAAUAUAAAACAUUUCUGUUGAAAGAAAAUAGGCACCAUAAAUAAUUAAAACCAUUCCAAUUGACUUUUUUGGUCAAUUUUAAUCUGAAC
ensembl:lncRNA